GUAUGUUCUCUCAGACCUCAGACCCCAUUACUGACUGUGCAGCCCUGGAGGGAACUGUGUUAGUUACUCUUUGGACGGAGGAGUUGAAGAAAGGGCUUACAUUAAAUCACAUACUGUUAAAGGUGCUUCUCUCCUUUAUGAAUGCUACUUGCACGGGACUGAUCCUGCCUAAUGAUUGACGAGGGCGGCAUUUUCUGAGCUAAACUGACUAAGACGCACCUCCAACAACAACACAUAAAACCUCACAUAAUUCUGCCUAAAAACAAUUACAAUUUCUCUCAAUCAGUGGCAUAUGGGCUUUUUAGGUGAGGGAUGAUGCCUCCCUUUGAUAAGCAGUGCUCACUUUGUCAAAGGCAGGGAUGCGAAACAUCUUGCUUGUCUAUUCCCAGCGUGCCUCUCCAGGGUGCUGUUGGAGAGACACAUCGCUGCAGCGCUCCACCAACAUUUGGUCAAAAAUCUAACAGAAAUCAUGUAGCAGAUAUAGGUUACGGUAAAAAGAGUAUGACCUUUGCUGUAGUCUACAGGCUAGAGAUACAAUGUAUGAUAAUGUAAAGAGAGACACAUUUUACAUCAUACAGGUUUCUCCCAUUAAAUAGCCUAACCUAAAUGGCGCUCAAUCAAAUAAAAAAUGCGCUGUCAUGUUAACAAACAACAUGUCCUAAAAACAGGACAGGUCAAAGUUAAAUGGACAAUAUGGAACGGACAAUCACAACUGUUGUCCAGGAGUUUCACCUCAUUGUCGUGAUCAGUGGUUUCAAGUUUGUAUCAGUCAUUUUUUGACAAGCUGAUCCAUAGCAAAAAAUAAAAUACUUCUGCAUUUCCUGCUGUGUAAACACAUUGCAAAUCGUCUCGAGCUCCUGAUGAAGUUGGGUAGCUGAUAUUCAGAGCUUAAAUAGCCAAAUUAAUUAGCCUUGUGGACGUCUUAUUUUGGUGCAGUAGUCCUGCCUAAUGAGCGGGCCGGCCGUGCAAGUAGCAUUUUUUGGUGCAGUUCCGGACCGGCCUUAAUUUCCACAUCCACGGACAUUGGUUUUGGUAAAUUCUUUUUUUCAACUUUCAUUCAGAACCGAAAAUGAACCUGAUUUCAACGUCCUGGAAAAUGUGUAUUUUAAACGUCAUUUUGCUUACUGGGACUAUUCUAGUUUUGUGGGGGGCUGUAUUUUUUGGUCUUGCCUAUGGUGGCAGGGUGGCAAGGUGUUUUUUGUUUUGAUACUUCUUGUUUGAUCUGGAAGUGAAUUGCUCAAAUUGUGUGGCGGUCCGGCCAAAAUUCAGCCGUUGGUUCGUUCAUCGAUUGGUGACGAAAAACUCUGAUGCAACUUGAUGAUAUCUUGAGUACACACACAUACUGUCAGCAGGACUUCUUAGUAAAUAACCAUGCGGUGGCUUACACACACUCACAUGCACGUUCCCCCUGAUGAAACUCGAAUCCACGGAGAUUUGUACAGUUCUCUGUGGUCGUCUUAUUUUCAUCCUUGCUCUGUAAUACCUUGUCAAUACACUAGGUGCCAGGACUUUGGUGAAGACACUGAAAUUCAAUAUGUUAAGACAGUCAUUCCAUGUCCUUACUGCUCAGUAUAGAAGUCAACAGGGUGCUAUAUGAUAAACAGGUUUAGUGCAAGUGUGAAGACUGUGCAGAAGUAGAUAUAUUUUAUGUACUACUUAGUGCAGUAUAUGAUUACGUUUUAAGACAAAAGGGUAGGCAGCCAGAAGGUUUUUCAGGGCACACUACCCGGUCUUUAAAACACCUCUUAGGUUGACAUCCAUGUGUAGGCCUAUCUGAAGAGGAGGGGGUGCUCUGCGCAAGUGCUGUGGGGAGAUAAGGGAGGUGAGGUUUCAAGCAUGGGUGGAGGUUAUCGUUUUUGGGCUGUCUAUUGGGCAGCCCAAUUUAGGCUGAAAACAAAAAAUGCCGGGCAGCACAACCUAGCGUUAACCUUUCUCACUCUCAAAAAAACACAGAAAAGAGAAGGACAUUAUCAGAGAAAUGAAGCAUAGAAAGAAAAAAUAGGAAGAGGAAAAUGGACAUCCCCCUCUUAAUCAUCAUGUGAGCAGCGUUCAGGACGCUAUGCAGGCGGAGAGAGCGAUAUGUGGCUGGGGUCCCCAGGCGCUAGUGAGUAUCUAAACACAUGUUUCCAUGGGUAUGGGCUGUCAAUAUCAUCACCUGUCUCUACAUGAUCUCCAACCCUAAGCCUCUUACCAGCUCCCAUUCCCAUUGGGUUCCGAGGGCCCUGCUUGUAGAGUGACAGGCCCAGCUUCUGGCUUGGAUAAAUUCCAGUAUGAGUAGCACUUACUCCCUCCCCUUUCAGUUACAUAUAAAGAGCCCUCUUCAUUGGUGGCAGAUCAUUUGCAUUACCGUGGGGCCUCUUUUCAUUCUGCUGUGUGCGAUAUACUUUUAAUAAGUCUCACAGGUGCGUAGUGUUUACACACAGGAAUUGAAAAUGUAUAAUUCUUUGUAAAUCUCCAAUACGUUCAAGGCAAUUGUAUUUGCUUACCGGUAAAUACUGUAUAACAACAAUGUACAAAUAAGAACAAGACUUUCUAAUUGUAAAAAUGUAGGGUUAAGAUUGGUUGGUAAUAGACUGUAUUUGUCACGACUUCCACCGAAGUCAGCCCCUCUCCUUGUUCGGCGGUCGUCGUCACCGGCUUUUUAGCCAUCGACACUCCAUUUUUCAUUUAACCAUUAGUUUUGUCUUGUUCCCUGCACAUCUGGUUUUCAUUCCCCAAUCACACUGCAUGUAUUUAUUCCUCUGUUCCCCCUCAUGUCUUUGUGUGUGAUUGUUUCGUGUUACGUGUCAUUUUUGACGCGCUGUUUCUGGUGUGCGUUUUCCGUGAUAUAUAUUAUUCACGAGGUAUGUUUGUACAUUAUUAUUGUGAGUGUUUGUGCAUUUUUGCACUUUGGCAUAUUCGAUGGAGGUUUCCACGCAGUGGUGUCCUUCUGUUGGUUUCUCCUGCCUAAAUAAAGUGUUCGCCUGUUCACAACGCUCUGCUCUCCUACAACUGACUCCGCUUCCAGUACGCACACCAUUGACAGUAUUUUUACGUUGGCUUGCUGGUGGUUUGGGUGUGGGCUACCCAGGUGGUGUGUCUAUGAGAACAUAUGAGAUGGAGAUACAGUUGAAUUUCUAUAAACGUUUCCAAAGAUAAAAGACAAGGAAAAUAACUUGUACCAACAAAGAACUGAAAUGAACUGUAAUGUUUGUCAGAAUGACACACGGAUUAGCCACAGAUUAAUCAAAUGUCCAAACACUUCUGCCCAAAUUAGCGAAGAGUAUGGUAGACCAACGCAUUAGCCAAUAAAAAUAAACUCCCGGUGUAUAGGCAAUGGCUUAAUUGUCUUAAUCUACCAACCAAUAAUCUCCCACAACAACUUCCCCCUAACCCUCCCCUACACACUAGCACAUCACAAGCACAGAGCCAUGCCUUGCAGUCGUGUGAUUCGCUAAAACUAAAUGAUGGCAAAUGCAGGCGUUGACUCGAUGGCCACAGGUGGAGGUGUUGACUCAAUUGCCACAGGUGGAGGUGUUGACUCGAUGGCCACUGGUGGUGUUGUUGACUCAAUGGCCAUUAGUGGUGUUGAUUCGAUGGCCACUGGCGGAGGUGUUUGCUUGAUGGCCACUGGUGGAGGUGUUUGCUUGAUGGCCACUGGUGGAGGUGUUUGUUUGAUGGCCACUGGUGGAGGUGUUUGCUUGAUGGCCACUGGUGGAGGUGUUUGCUUGAUGGCCACUGGUGGAGGUGUUUGCUUGAUGGCCACUGGUGGAGGUGUUUGCUUGAUGGCCACUGGUGGAGGUGUUUGUUUGAUGGCCACUGGUGGAGGUGUUUGUUUGAUGGCCACUGGUGGAGGUGUUUGCUUGAUGGCCACUGGUGGAGGUGUUUGUUUGAUGGCCACUGGUGGAGGUGUUUGCUUGAUGGCCACUGGUGGAGGUGUUGGCCAUUGUCCACAGGAACUGGAAUGGGCCACCAGCCACAGUGUGAGGUCAGCUUGCCUCUUUAGGUACUGACCCACUGAUCACUGGAGGUACUGGGUCUUCUGUGUUAGGGGACACAGGGUAACCUUACACGGGAGCCUGGCUGGCCCCUGGGACUGGAGCUAGGGUGACUCCAUUGACUACUGCAGACCUGAUAAACUUACCAUUAGUAAGCUAGAUAUGGGACUGCACAAGGUACUGCAAUGGAGAUGGGAGUUGUAGUCUGAAAGGGUACUAUAGUGGAAAUGGAGUUGUAGUCUGAAAGGGUACUGCAAUGGAGAUGGGAGUUGUAGUCUGAAAGGGUACUGCAAUGGAGAUGGGAGUUGUAGUCUGAAAGGGUACUGCAAUGGAGAUGGGAGUUGUAGUCUGAAAGGGUACUGCAAUGGAGAUGGGAGUUGUAGUCUGAAAGGGUACUGCAGUGGAGAUGGGAGUUGUAGUCUGAAAGUGUACUGCAGUGGAGAUGGGAGUUGUAGUCUGAAAGGGUACUGUAGUGGAAAUGGAGGUGGAGUCUAAAAGGGUACUGCAAUGGAGAUGGGAGUUAUAGUCUGAAAGGGCACUGUAUUGGAAAUGGAGGUGGAGUCUAAAAGGGUACUGCAGUGGAGAUGGGAGUUGUAGUCUGAAAGGGUACUGCAAUGGAGAUGGGAGUUGUAGUCUGAAAGGGUACUGCAGUGGAGAUGGGAGUUGUAGUCUGAAAGGGUACUGCAAUGGAGAUGGGAGAUGUAGUCUGAAAGGGUACUGCAAUGGAGAUGGGAGUUGUAGUCUGAAAGGGUACUGCAAUGGAGAUGGGAGUUGUAGUCUGAAAGGGUACUGCAGUGGAGAUGGGAGUUGUAGUCUGAAAGUGUACUGCAGUGGAGAUGGGAGUUGUAGUCUGAAAGUGUACUGCAAUGGAGAUGGGAGUUGUAGUCUGAAAGGGUACUGCAAUGGAGAUGGGAGUUGUAGUCUGAAAGUGUACUGCAAUGGAGAUGGGAGUUGUAGUCUGAAAGGGUACUGCAAUGGAGAUGGGAGUUGUAGUCUGAAAGGGUACUGCAGUGGAGAUGGGAGUUGUAGUCUGAAAGGGUACUGCAAUGGAGAUGGGAGUUGUAGUCUGAAAGGGUACUGUAGUGGAAAGGGAGGUGGAGUCUAAAAGGGUACUGCAAUGGAGAUGGGAGUUGUAGUCUGAAAGGGUACUGCAGUGGAGAUGGAAUUGUAGUCUGAAAGGGUACUGCAGUGGAGAUGGGAGUUGUAGUCUGAAAGGGUACUGCAGUGGAAAUGGAGGUGGAAUCUAAAAGGGUACUGUAAUGGAGAUGGAGUUGUAGUCUGAAAGGGUACUGUAGUGGAGAUGGGAGUUGUAGUCUGAAAGGGUAAUGCAGUGGAGAUGGAGUUGUAGUCUGAAAGGGUAAUGCAGUGGAAAUGGAGGUGGAAUCUAAAAGGGUACGGCAAUGGAGAUGGAGUUGUAGUCUUAAAGGGUACUGUAGUGGAGAUGGGAGUUGUAGUCUGAAAGGGUACUGCAGUGGAGAUGGAAUUGUAGUCUGAAAGGGUACUGCAGUGGAGAUGGGAGUUGUAGUCUGAAAGGGUACUGCAGUGGAAAUGGAGGUGGAAUCUAAAAGGGUACUGUAAUGGAGAUGGAGUUGUAGUCUGAAAGGGUACUGUAGUGGAGAUGGGAGUUGUAGUCUGAAAGGGUAAUGCAGUGGAGAUGGAGUUGUAGUCUGAAAGGGUAAUGCAGUGGAAAUGGAGGUGGAAUCUAAAAGGGUACGGCAAUGGAGAUGGAGUUGUAGACUGAAAGGGUACUGUAGUGGAAAUGGAGGUGGAGUCUAAAAGGGUACUGCAGUGGAGAUGGGAGUUGUAGUCUGAAAGGGUACUGCAAUGGAGAUGGGAAUUGUAGUCUGAAAGGGUACUGCAAUGGAGAUGGGAGUUGUAGUCUGAAAGGGUACUGCAGUGGAGAUGGGAGUUGUAGUCUGAAAGGGUACUGCAAUGGAGAUGGGAGAUGUAGUCUGAAAGGGUACUGCAAUGGAGAUGGGAGUUGUAGUCUGAAAGGGUACUGCAAUGGAGAUGGGAGUUGUAGUCUGAAAGGGUACUGCAAUGGAGAUGGGAGUUGUAGUCUGAAAGGGUACUGCAAUGGAGAUGGGAGUUGUAGUCUGAAAGGGUACUGCAAUGGAGAUGGGAGUUGUAGUCUGAAAGGGUACUGCAGUGGAGAUGGGAGUUGUAGUCUGAAAGGGUACUGCAAUGGAGAUGGGAGUUGUAGUCUGAAAGGGUACUGCAGUGGAGAUGGAAUUGUAGUCUGAAAGGGUACUGCAGUGGAGAUGGGAGUUGUAGUCUGAAAGGGUACUGCAGUGGAAAUGGAGGUGGAAUCUAAAAGGGUACUGCAAUGGAGAUGGAGUUGUAGUCUGAAAGGGUACUGUAGUGGAGAUGGGAGUUGUAGUCUGAAAGGGUAAUGCAGUGGAGAUGGAGUUGUAGUCUGAAAGGGUAAUGCAGUGGAAAUGGAGGUGGAAUCUAAAAGGGUACGGCAGUGGAGAUGGAGUUGUAGACUGAAAGGGUAAUGCAGUUGAUGCUGGGGAUGAAGGUAGAGCACAAGGAACUGGAGUUUAGGCUUGAGCUCAUAUGAAUAGGUAAUUGUAGUGUUUUGGACCAAUCCAUUUCUGAAAUGAGGCUUGGAGUUCGACUGGGAUGGAUGGUUUCUUUGUUUCCAUCCACCUGAUUUGAUGUGUAUCUCCCUUAUUCUCUAUCUGACGAUGAGCCCUCAGUCAGCUGGGAAUCUAUACUCCAUUUUUGUCCUUUCCACCACGAUAGCCCGAUCAGGCCCGAAGGAUAUAAAAACUGGUUAGGGUUGGUCAAGGACUGUAUUUUGAGGUUGGUCUACAAGAACACAGGAGAUGGAGGUACAGUUGAAUUUCUAUAAACACAGGUGAAAGGUAAGGAAAUUAAGUUACACCAACAAGCUUCAGGUGGGAAAAUUUUAAGGGAAGGUGUGGCAAUAUCAAGGGAAGGGUGUGGCAAUAUCAAGGGAAGGGUGUGGCAAUAUCUUGGGAAGGGUGUGGCAAUAUCAAGGGAAGGUGUGGCAAUAUUAAGGGAAGGGUGUGGCAAUAUCAAGGGAAGGUGUGGCAAUAUCAAGGGAAGGGUGUGGCAAUAUUAAGGGAAGGGUGUGGCAAUAUCAAGGGAAGGGUGUGGCAAUAUCAAGGGAAGGGUGUGACAAUGUCAAGGGAAGGGUGUGGCAAUAUCAAGGGAAGGGUGUGACAAUAUCAAGGGAACGGUGUGGCAAUAUCAAGGGGAAGAGUGUGACUGAAGUUCCCCCUCUGCUCCAGGAACUGGGUGGUGAUUGGGCAAUGGGAAAGUCAGUCAAGGGCAACAAGACUACGAACUGAGUGUUCUAAUAUGCUUACGGCAGUUCCAAAUAUCAAGAGUUACGAAGAAACCUCAAAACAACAGGAAUUGCAGCGCGGGAUUUGGUUUUCAUUUUCUUUAGUGAUAUAAUAAAGUGAUUUCUUGGAGUUGUGUCAUGUCAGACUAGGAUCAGACAGGAUUAUAUUUAGAAUCUAAGAGACUUGUGAGUCAGAGAGGGCUUGUGUCGCCUACAACCCCCACAAUCUUGACUUUCACUGCCUCCGUAUCUGCUUGGGUGGGACUUUGUUUGCCUUGGCAUCAUGUUUCUGUCGUUGCUGUUCUUCCUAUUCCCACAUUUAGUUAAUCAUCAGCAUUUACUUAAUGCUUCAAAAUCAAAUGAACAAUUUUCCAUUGACAUCCUUCUUUUCCUACUUCUCUCUCUCUCUCCCACUCAAUCCCUUUCCCUCUUGCAAUUUCUCUCUCUCUUUCGCUUUUUUAUUUAUCUUUCACUCUCUUUCCCCCUCUCUCCCUCUAACUCUCCUUCUCCCUCUGGAUCUUCCAAUCGCCCUCAUCCCCUUCUAUCUCCCCUGUCGCCCCUGUUCCGACCGCUCACUUUUU